GGAUUCCCCUAGUAACGGCGAGUGAAGAGGGAAGAGCCCAAGAUUGAAAGCUGGCGCCUUCGGCGUCCGCAUUGUAAUCUAAAGAAGUGUUUUCCGCUUCGGACCAUGCCUAAGUCCCUUGGAAAAGGGCAUCAUAGAGGGUGAUAAUCCCGUACAUGGCAUGGAGCGCCCGAAGCUUUGUGAUACGCUUUCUAAGAGUCGAGUUGUUUGGGAAUGCAGCUCAAAAUGGGUGGUAAAUGCCAUCUAAGGCUAAAUAUUGGGGAGAGACCGAUAGCGAACAAGUACAGUGAUGGAAAGAUGAAAAGAACUUUGAAAAGAGAGUUAAACAGUACGUGAAAUUGCCAAAAGGGAAGGGUAGGAGGUCAGAGAUGCGUCGCAGGAUUCAGCCUUGCUUUUGCUUGGUGUUUUUCCUGCGUUGCAGGCCAACGUCGGUUUUGGGCACUGGAGAAGGGUAGGAGGAACGUGGCACCUCUCGGGGUGUGUUAUAGCCUCCUACUGGAUACAGCGACCGAGACCGAGGAACGCAGCGUACUCGUAAGAGCGGGCCUUUUGGCACCUUUACGCUUAGGGCGUUGGCAUAAUGGCCCUCUACCACCCGUCUUG
rnacentral:rRNA from 1 species